rnacentral:rRNA from 1 species
UAUUGGACAAUGGGCGCAAGCCUGAUCCAGCAAUACCGCGUGUGUGAAGAAGGCCUUAGGGUUGUAAAGCACUUUCAAUUGGGAGGAAAACCUGCCGGCCAAUACCCGGUAGCUUGACAUUACCUUUAGAAGAAGCACCGGCUAACUCCGUGCCAGCAGCCGCGGUAAUACGGAGGGUGCGAGCGUUAAUCGGAAUUACUGGGCGUAAAGCGUGCGUAGGCGGUUCGUUAAGUCAGAUGUGAAAGCCCUGGGCUCAACCUGGGAACGGCAUUUGAAACUGGCGGACUAGAGUUUAGUAGAGGGGAGUGGAAUUCCAGGUGUAGCGGUGAAAUGCGUAGAUAUCUGAAGGAACACCAGUGGCGAAGGCGACUCCCUGGACUAGAACUGACGCUGAGUACGAA